UCUCAGUAACGGCUGUGACACUGUGCUACAGUGUUACCACUGAGGGAAACUGGGAAAGGGUACAACCCUACCAUUUCUUACGAUUGCAUAUGCGUCUACGGCAACCUCCCAAAAAAGUUGAUUUAAAAAAAAGACAUUGAACACCUAAGGCACUGGAACUACAAACAGAAUAAAGACUCCUCAAAGGAUAAUAAAUACCUACAAGAAAGAAUGUAUCCACUGAAGUGCAGUAAAUUCAAUUUUACAGUUUGCAUACGUGCCAAGGGGACACAGAGGAAAAGCACUAAACUCAGGUCUGGAAUAAGGUAUACGAAAAGUUUCCCAGCAAAGGUGAUGCUGCAGCAGAAGCUUGAAAAAUUCCUAGGACUUAUCUAGGCAAAGAGAGGGGAGAUAACAGUGAAGGGAAUUCCAGCUGGAGGGAGCAGCAGGUGCAAAGGCAAGGAGAUUGGAAACAAUGGGGUUCAUUCAGGAAACUGAGAAGUCCCACUUGUCACGUGUGUCUGGUGGGUAAGGGAGCUGGGAGAGACAAGGCUCAUCUCAAUCUGAAGGAGGAGACUAGGUCUUGAGGUUCAUUAUUUUAAAGGGCUUGAAGUAUAUCCUGUACAGCUAGGGGUUAUGGGUUCACCUGUCUCUGUUCAAGGCAUAAAAUAAGAUUUGGAUUUUAUUUUUAUUCUUAUUUUUAUUUUUGCCCUUUAGGGCCGCAGGUACAGCACAUGGAUGUUCGCAGGCUAGGAGCUGAAUCAGAGCUACAGCUUCCAGGCUAUACCACAGUCACAGCAAUGUCAGAUUCAAGCCACAUCUGCAACCUACACCACAACUCAGGGCAACGCUGGAUCCUUCAGCCACUGAGCGAGGCCAGGGAUCUAACCUGAGUCCUCAUGGACACUAGUCAGGUUGAUUACCGCUGAGCCACAAUGGGAACUCCCAAGAUUUAGGUUUUAAAGGGCAUGGAGGUGGAGACUGAACUGUGGGUUGAAGGUGGGGACCAGAGGUAGCUGGUGAGAUAUGCUGAGGACUUCAACCACAGCAGUGACAACAGGAAUGAAAAAAAGGAGAGCAUUUGAGAAACUUAACAAAGACAGAAUCCAACAGUACAUGGGGACUGCCUGAAUGUAAGAAGGGAGGUGAGGGAAGAAUCUACGGCCUGACUGCAAAUGAGUAGAGCUAGGAUGCUGUUCCCCAGCUCAGAGCAGACAUCCCUAAUUAAUAAUUAUACUCUUUACAACUCAAAUCAGCUCUCCCAGGAGCCACUACUUAUCCAUCAGGGUUAACAAAUAAGUUGUAUUUACUCUCCACUUCUUACCUCAAAUGACUCGAAUUUCUAGAUGGAUGGUGGCGCUACCCAUAAAAAUGGGUAAAAUAAAAAUUGGAGGAAAAAAGUUUGAACUUGGUUUGAUAUGUUGCUGAGUCUGAAGAUCACAAGACGCAUCCAGGUGGAAAUAUGUAAAAAUAAACUGAAUAUUUAGGUGUAUAACUUAGGAUGGAAAUUUGGAAACCAGUAGCAUAUAUGUAGAAAUUAAACAAUAGAAAUCAAGACAGUUACAAGCUAAUCAUGGUACAUAAAGGGCUAAGAAAAAAUGCAUCAAAAGCAGAACCCUUAAGAGCAUGGACAUGUAUGCGACAGACAAGAGCAGUGACCACGAAAGAGAGAACUUGUAAGUUCUGCUUUCACCCAACGAAAGAACUCGAUUGAGCAGAAUUUCCUGCCACUUUGUAACAAGGGUUGCCUUUCCUUCAUUUCUCGUAUCUUGUUCAUUUCCUGCCGAGACCUCAGCGGAAGAGCCGCUACCGUUCCUAUUUCCAGCAACCUUGUGUUCAUGGUAAUGUACGGUCUCUGAGAUGAUCCAAGCUUUCUCUCUGGCCUCCUCACCUCCUCCUGAGACUCAUCGGCAUUGCCUUUCAGAUCCACGUUUUUGUCAACCAUCUUUUCAAGGAAAUCUAAGCUUCUUUUUACCACACACCUCAAAAUUCUUCCAGCCUCUAUCAACUACCCAAUUCCAAAGCCACUUCUAUAUUUUUGGCUCUUGUUGCAACAGCACCCCUCCUUCCAAUACCAAAAGCUGAAUUAAUUGCUUAGGUCUGUCACAAGCUUGAUGGCUUAAAACAGCAGAAAUGUAUUCUUUCAGAGUUCUGAAGGUCACAAGUCCCAAGUCUGUAGGGUAGGCCACUCUCAGGUCAAAGGCUCCCUUGCCUUUUCCAGCCUUUGGUGGCACCCGGCGGGGGUUCUGUGCCUCAUGGUGGUCUAACUCCCAUCUCUGCCUCUGCCUUCGCGUGGCUCCCUCUGUGCCUGUGUCUCAAACCUUCCUCUCCUUUCCCUUCCAAGGACACCCGUCAUUCGAUUCAGGGCCCGCCCUACAUCCAGGAUGAUCUGGAGAUCUUAAUCACAUACGCAAAGACCCCAUCCUCACAAGAGUCACAUUCGAGGUGCUGACUGGGACGAAGGGCACGACAGGAGAGCGGAGAGUUUCGGUCUUACUGGGGAUUUACCGAGGACUGCAGCGCAGGAGACAGACUCUCAGAUCGCCUGAGGAACUGCUCCCAAUUGGAAGGAGCUCCUCAAGUACGUGAUUUGGAGAAGGGUGUGCAAAUCAGACACACAUCUCCGUAGGAGGUUACUGUUAUUCAUAAGACACAGAUAGAUAUCGUUAAUGAUUUUAGUGCUUUUCUAAACAUGGCAAAGUGCAGGAAAUCAGGGUCAGAAGACUUUCGCCUGAAAAUACCUAACUAGUCAAGGCCUGUGCUGCCUGUUUUUCCGAAGCCCAGAGUGCCUCAUUCCUGAUCUCCACCCUGAGCUCCUUCCGGGGUGUGUCAAAGGCCGGCGACUGCAGUGGCUGAGGACUCAGUCCUUGCAGAACCGACGCGGGAGCAACACCCUUUAGCAGGCAAGGGGUACAGCGAGUUAGGACUUGGGCUUAUCUUCUGAAGGCUACGGUUCAUGCCACUUUGUAAAGGCUCUUGGGAGAAAUGAAUGACUACAAAUCUAAAGCAGUAAAUGCACAGGAGGAGCCAGGAACACCUUGGCACACCAGACCGAAAGAAGUUACUCAAGAUUACUGAGGUCCUAAGAACUCAGAAGCCAGUUUGAGGCUCCCUCUUACCAAAGAUGGAAUAAUGUGAGCACCAAUGG
rnacentral:lncRNA from 1 species